UAAGGCCUCGUGGAUAGCAUAGGAUCAUGGUCCAGCUUCCAAGCUUGCACCUUUGGCUCCUUUCAAGUUUCAACCAAAUUCCCCUAAAUCCCAAAGGAACCUCUUUUGACAUUUCUUUCUCAGGCCCAGUUUUUUACUUGCGUUUCAAUCACACUCUUUACCCUUUCUAUGCUUCAAUUCUUGAACCAUCCACCUGUUUUAUCAUUAUUUCCAGAAGGCCCCAAAAUUUACACCUCUUCUUCUGUUAAGAACAUCACUUCAGGUUUUAGCUUUGCAACGGGAGAGUAACUCAAUGCUAGAACACAGAGAACUGCAUUUCCUCCAAAUUUUGUACACUCGCUUGACGGGUUCACACAUGAUGAUGAUAGCUCUUGCCCCUACGUUUUGCAGAUAUUGGAACCUACACCCUGCUGAAGUGCUCUGUACUUAGAGGAUUAGAGGGCAUAGAUUCAUCAAAACAAAGUCUCUUUUGAAGGGUGCAUGAUUCCUUCUGGACUCAUGCAUGUGAUGUGGACCAAAUGAACGAGAUACUUGGGGAAAAAUUUGUGGAGCUUUAUAGCAUGCCGAUACUUGAAAAUCUCUGCCUUUUCCCCGUUGCUUGAAAGUUUCCAAGCAUCAUAUCCAGCAUCGACUUUUCCUCCACUCCCAGAAAGAGGCGACUUUGACUUGCAACAGGUUCUAGAAUCUCCAUACUUUUUCAACUGAAUUUCCAGUCAUGAGCAGCGAUGAUAACAAUAUGCGGAAAGCUUUGUCACUUGUAUCAUAUGCACCCCCAAAUUGACCAAGAAGCUUUGUUAAGAGUUCAUUUGGAUAGGGGCAGCAAGUUGAACUGGGAAACAGAAGCCUAAAAGGUUCCUUUUGUGAAAAGUGAAAGGACAACAAUUUUGAAAUUUUGAUUCCCAUGGUCAACAAGUCUGUGAUUCUGAUAGGGUGGUGAUCAUCUUCAGUGUUAAUGAUCUGGCUCUAUUUAGAAGCGACCAGUGUACGGUAAAGGAGACGCUUCUAUUAAAAUUCAAAUAUGUUUAGAAGUUCUCUAAUGUGGAACAAUUUUUUCGGAGCCAAGAGAGGCAGACAGAAGGCGGCAAGGCCGUUGGAGCUAAUUUUGUGGAGUUCAUCUAAAUGGUGCAAAAAUCAUGUAUUGUUUCUUUUCUAAUAUGUUUAAUUUUUUAA